AUGGUGCCGGGCCCUGAGCUGCCAGCGUCUGCGGGCCCCUUGCUAAGAAUGAAGGAGCAGGCCGGUCUCCGCCCUCCCGCGUCUCGUCUCAAGAGGAGGACACGCAAUGUCACCUUCAUCAGGCCCUCCUGGUUUUGCCCUUCACCUGUUGAAGACUCGGGACCACGCGUCCCCGGAAAGAGAAUUAAGGACACACGUACCACCAGCCAAUCUGAUACUGCAGGUGAGUGUCAGACGCAAAGCAACUCGGCAGGGGGGCUGUCCCGUGGAAGGUUUUGGAGAAUUGUUUUCUGAGGCAACGGCUUUGAUUCUAAAUACUUAAUCUCUUCCAAGGUGCAGUCUCCUCUGAAGCCAAGAUCCACCUGUAAGCUCCACAAGCACCAGCAGGAAGCUGUCCUGCCUACAUCUGUCCCACAGGUUCCCAGGGCCUGGUUCUAGGAGGCAGACAUCUCAGCUCUGCCCUUGACCAUGAUCUGGGGCCGAGCUGAAGCAGAGGGUCCAGGUGGAGGCCCCCAGCGCCAGAGUAAUGAUCGCCCGGGGCCGGGUCUCCCGAGUCCUGUCUCCGCAGGCUUCGCACCAGGAGUGAGAGCUGUCCGGGUGCAGAAGCGCCGCUGUCUUCAUGUCCCUGGAUUCGUCACAAUUCCCCAGAGAAACAGAAGCCGGGCGGCCGUGGCUUCCCGGUGGAGCCUGCAAGUCAGCGUGGAGCUUCUAGGAAGAGCCUGACGUUCUGAUAACAGACUGGAGCUGCUUAGGGUCAGUAUUAGUAACUGACCUGUAUUUUCUCCACUCAAGACCGCACCUCAUCUCCAGCUUUGUAUUGUAUUUUAGCCUGAAGACACCUUGGCUGUCUCCCUUCUCAUCCUGUGACAGUGUCCUGUGAAGACAAAAGUUAUGGUGGCCACUGUCCAUGAAUCGGUGACUUUGCAGGUGGGAUGAAGUAUCCGACUCUUCCCAGGUCUUUUUUUUUUUUAACUCACUGGAUCUUAGUAUAAUUACAGUUGUGCAAAAGCAUCAUCACAACCCAGUGUUACAUUUCCACUCCACACCCCCAGCCCAUCCCUCUCCCGCCCCAACCUGUCUCCUUUGGUAACCACAGUUUUUCAAAGCCUGUGAGUCAGUUUCUGUCCUGCAAAU
rnacentral:lncRNA from 1 species